rnacentral:rRNA from 1 species
AUUGAACGCUGGCGGCAAGCCUAACACAUGCAAGUCGAACGAGUGGCGGACGGGUGAGUAAUGUCUGGGAAACUGCCUGAUGGAGGGGGAUAACUACUGGAAACGGUAGCUAAUACCGCAUACCAUCGGAUGUGCCCAGAUGGGUUGAGCUAGUAGGUGGGGUAAAGGCUCACCUAGGCGACGGUCCCUAGCUGGUCUGAGAGGAUGACCAGCCACCCUGGGACUGGGACACGGUCCAGACUCCUACGGAAGGCAGCAGUGGGGAAUAUGGCACAAUGGGCGCAAGCCUGAGGCAACCAUGCCGCGUGUCUGAAGCAGGCCUUCGGGUUGUAAAGUACUGUCAGCGGGGAGGCGUUACCCGCAGAAGAAGCACCGGCUAACUCCGUGCCAGCAGCCGCGGUAAUUC